rnacentral:rRNA from 1 species
CUUGCUAUCCAGAGAGCGGCGUACGGGUGCGUAACACGUGUGCAACCUGCCUUUAUCUGGGGGAUAGCCUUUCGAAAGGAAGAUUAAUACCCCAUAAUAUGGUGUCCGGCAUCGGUCGCCAUUGAAAGCCUCGGCGGAUAGAGAUGGGCACGCGCAAGAUUAGAUAGUUGGCGGGGUAACGGCCCACCAAGUCGAUGAUCUUUAGGGGUCCUGAGAGGGAGAUCCCCCACACUGGUACUGAGACACGGACCAGACUCCUACGGGAGGCAGCAGUGAGGAAUAUUGGACAAUGGGUGGAAGCCUGAUCCAGCCAUCCCGCGUGAAGGAUGACGGUCCUAUGGAUUGUAAACUUCUUUUGUACAGGGAUAAACCUGCCCUCGUGAGGGCAGCUGAAGGUACUGUACGAAUAAGCACCGGCUAACUCCGUGCCAGCAGCCGCGGUAAUACGGAGGGUGCGAGUGUUAUCCGGAUUUAUUGGGUUUAAAGGGUCCGUAGGCGGGCCUGUAAGUCAGUGGUGAAAUCUCAUAGCUUAACUAUGAAACUGCCAUUGAUACUGCAGGCCUUGAGUAAAUUUGAAGUGGCUGGAAUAAGUAGUGUAGCGGUGAAAUGCAUAGAUAUUACUUAGAACACCGAUUGCGAAGGCAGGUCACUAAGAUUUAACUGACGCUGAUGGACGAAAGCGUGGGGAGCGAACAGGAUUAGAUACCCUGGUAGUCCACGCCGUAAACGAUGCUAACUCGUUUUUGGAUCUUCGGGUUCAGAGACCAAGCGAAAGUGAUAAGUUAGCCACCUGGGGAGUACGUCCGCAAGGAUGAAACUCAAAGGAAUUGACGGGGGCCCGCACAAGCGGUGGAUUAUGUGGUUUAAUUCGAUGAUACGCGAGGAACCUUACCAAGACUUAAAUGGGAAUUGACAGAUUUAGAAAUAGAUCCUCCUUCGGGCAAUUUUCAAGGUGCUGCAUGGUUGUCGUCAGCUCGUGCCGUGAGGUGUUAGGUUAAGUCCUGCAACGAGCGCAACCCCUGCCAACAGUUGCCAUCAUUCAGUUGGGGACUCUGUUGGGACUGCCUACGCAAGUAGAGAGGAAGGUGGGGAUGACGUCAAAUCAUCACGGCCCUUACGUCUUGGGCCACACACGUAAUACAAUGGCCGGUACAGAGGGCAGCUACCUGGUGACAGGAUGCGAAUCUCGAAAGCCGGUCUCAGUUCGGAUUGGAGUCUGCAACUCGACUCUAUGAAGCUGGAAUCGCUAGUAAUCGCGCAUCAGCCAUGGCGCGGUGAAUACGUUCCCGGGCC